CUGCUACUCAUUGUUUCCUUGUGCUUAAUUUGCGGCUCACGUUGCAGUUGUUAAUCGUGGUUAUUACGGAUGAUAUUGUCCGUGUGUGUACUGUGAUCGAGCCAGAUUGACUUCGAAGGAGGCAACGCAUGGAACGGCCGAUGGGCAGCUUUGUUUAACUUCAAGACCAUGUGCUGCUGAAAGCUUUCUGAAAGCAACAGGACAAAAAAUAAGGGAUGUGGGCCUUGGAAAGACCAGCUGAUGGAAAAAAAUCAACGUCUGUGUUGCACGCAACGCCAUUGUGACAGUCUGCAUCACCAUUUGGCCUGUUGUGGGAUCCCACAAGACACGCUCUGUUCCUCAGUCAAUUACUGAACUUCUGCAAGCCCCAUGGAAGCCAACUGUGAUCCGCAUCGAAUAGAACAAAUUCAACGUUCCGGGCUUCAUAAUUAAUCUUCAGCUGAAGUUAGAAACGGAGCUGAAACAGCGUA